rnacentral:rRNA from 1 species
GGAUCUUCCGCAUGGGGGAGCCUGACGAGCACGCCGCGUGAGUGAUGAAGGCCUUCGGGUUGUAAACCUCUUUUGUUCGGGACGAACAUGACGGGGACGAUCUGCCGGUGCCUUGACCGUUCCUGGCCGGAACGCCCGGCUUUCAUCCGUGCCCCCCGCCGCGGAAAUCA